UACGGGGGGGGUAAGCGUUGUUCGGAAUUACUGGGCGUAAAGGGCUCGUAGGCGGCCAACUAAGUCGGACGUGAAAUCCCUCAGCUUAACUGGGGAACUGCGUCCGAUACUGGAUGGCUUGGAUUUGGGAGAGGGAUGCGGAAUUCCAGGUGUAGCGGUGAAAUGCGUAGAUAUCUGGAGGAACACCGGUGGCGAAGGCGGCUCUCUGGGCCUUACCUGACGCUGAGGCGCGAAAAGCUGGGGGGAGCGAACAGG
rnacentral:rRNA from 1 species